UAAGACGAACCGUGCGAACGUUAUUCGGAAUCACUGGGCUUAAAGCGCGUGUAGGCGGGCCGCCACGUCAGUCGCUGAAAUCCCCCGGCUCAACCGGGGAAGUGGCACUGAUACGAGCGGCCUGGAGGGAGGUAGGGGGGGCUGGAACUUCCGGUGGAGCGGUGAAAUGCGUUGAGAUCGGAAGGAACGCCCGUGGCGAAAGCGAGCCCCUGGACCUUUUCUGACGCUGAGACGCGAAAGCUAGGGGAGCGAACGGG
rnacentral:rRNA from 1 species